rnacentral:lncRNA from 1 species
UAAUCCUAUUCUUUUAGCAAACACAUUGCAAGCAUUACUCAUUUGUUUGGAUUAACCAUUUAUUUGAACCUUUAACAUUUCAUGAGCUGUUGAAUUGUUAUGAACAUUGUAAAAUUUAAAGCGUGGGUGGUUGAUUUGGCUUUUAAGUGGAACUAAUGAUAUAAGGAGAAAGGUGCACCGUUUUAAAUAAGUAAGAACCACUUAAAUUGGAAAAAAGAGAAAAGAAAGAAAAGAAUAGUUGCAUUGUUGUGAAGAAAAAAAGAAUAUAUAUAUUGAUGUGAAUGUGGAGCUUGGUUUGACAUAAGUAGGGUCUUUAAUGUUAAAAUGUAUGUAUUAAAGUGCUAAGGGAGGUGUAGUCACUCUUAUAUCUAAAUGUAUCAUACUCUUCCCUCAGCGUACAUUAUAACUAUAUAAAGUCCUACUUGAUCCUAGACUGAAUGAGCUCGAUUAGCAGAGUAGGCACAAGAAUAUUGUUUCUGAGGGUGAGUGAAUUCUGUCUAUGUUGAAGUUACUCAUUGUGCAUGAAUUUUAUUUGAUUGUGGAAUGAGUCUCUUUUGUCGUGACCAUGCACUUCAUUCAUGAAGGAAACGUAAGUCUUGACCUAUGUGUUAGAGUAAGUGAGUAAGUUAGGAAUAUUGUGUGGCCCGUGAGAGUCAACUCUUGAGGUAUAGAUGUUACACUUCUAUGCUCAAUCUAUGUGAAAUAUUCAUGGUGUGACGACUUAGGGAAGUCACUUAGUGAAGUUAGACAUCAGUAGAGUGUGGGUUGAUUGCUCGGAGACGAGCAAUGGUUUAACUGUGGGGUGUUGAUAGUAGUAUCGUGCCCCCCUUUUUUCCUUCCUCGUGGAGAGAGGUCCGGGUUUCGACAUUCCAUGGAGGUAAUGACUCAUUUUCUUUUGGAAAUUGGGUAUUUGAAGAGUCGUCACCUAACGAAUUAUGGUACGUUAGGGCACCUAGAGUGAUUAACUCUUGAAUUGGUUUGCAUUACCGGAGAUUGGGGUAAGGGCUUGAAGUAACCUCGAGGGAAGGUGUUAGGCACCUCUCCUGGUCCAGAACUGUGGGAGUUGGCCGAACUUAUAUUCACAAUUAGUCCAUAAACAGAUGAAUCAAAUAGGUUGCAAGUAAAGCACGUUAUAUAACUCAAGUAAUAAGAUAAUGAUUUGGACAAGUCGUAAAACAAAGUUUUAAACAAAAAGGGAAUUUUGGUAAAUGAGGGGUACUAGGUUGGUUAACCUAUAGGAUCAACCCACAUAAUGUCCAAUAAACAUUCCUUGAUGAGGGCAUACACGAGACAUUAGCGCAUAGUCAUCGUAUUCCAUAUCUACCCUUCCUAUCCCCUUAUUGGUCAUGCAAAGUGGGUGUUUGGUCAGCAAACUCUAUUGCGUGCUACUACUUGUCUCGUCUUAAUGGUCCUGGAGGGAGUUAGGACCUCUACAUAUGGGUGGUUCAAGACGGACCCCUAAGGUUUUAAAAGGUAAAAAUUCUAAGGCAACAAUCAAAAUACUUAGGACUUUCAGCACAUAAAAUGGAGUACCUAGAGGCUCAAAGUUUCCUCCUCAAACAAGCACAUAAACAGCACAACUCAGGCACAAUUAAGGGCUUUAUUAUACAGUGUCCUAAGGCAAGAUAACUAAGUGAAUAUACAUAAACAAACAACUUAUUUUUUUGAAACUCAGGAACAGUGACCCAAGAAGUUGCCUAUUGAUUUUUAAUGCCUGGUAGGAUCAGAAACAUUGAGCAAUAUAAAACAGUUUUUAGAAAUAUAGUUUUGAAAAUGCCAUAAAGGCUUGCCUAUACGCAGAGUACUGGUGACUAUAUUUAAAGAACUUGUUUCAGGAAAUAUAUACUACUUAAUUAAACCAAUCAGAAGUAAACUAAACGUGGCCUAAGUUGAAUUACUAGACUAGUUUAUAUUGACAGGCAGAAUUUCAAAUAUGGUUCCCUAUUGGAAUGAUUUCUAACUUCGUUAAUCUGAUUUUUAAGACGUCCAGACAUAAACCCUUGCCAUAACAUAAUUUGGAUUAAGUCCUAUAGGCAUGGCAUCUACUAAUUAGUAGGAUUUUGAGACAUUGAAGGCAUGAUUAGUUGGAACUUAUAGGCAUGGUUUCUAGCAUGGUGAGGUGACAAAAUGUAAAGCCCUAGGAGUAUGAUUUCUACUUGAUAAAGCAAUCAGAUAGUCCUAUGAACAUGAUUUCUACCGGUAUUACCCAUAGACAUGUAUUUACCCAUCCCUUUUCACUAAAUACCCCAAUAUUUGUUUACAAGUUAUUACAGACCAAUGAGAGAAUUACACAAAAAAAUAAAAAUAAAACGUUAUUCUAUAGGAAGCCUCCAAUUAGGCCCAGAUUUCCCAAAGCCUCCAAUGGCCUCAAAUGCCUCAAGUCCAUAGACAAUGCAGAGUCUAGGUGCAUCAAAGUUCCCUAAAGAUCUCAAGGAUCACGGUCAGUGCUCACACCUAGACUUAGUAACUAAAAGUUGAACAAGUACAUUGUGGAAAGGCCAGCCUAAGUAUGCUAGAGUUAAGAGGGUUCUCAAGAGGAUCUCAAGGUAGUACAUAUAUUAAAGGGGGCAGAACUUACCGACUAAGAGUAGAGAGAAAGUGAUUUUAGUGAAAAACUGUAUGAAAGAAGGCCUGAAAGUAAUUUAGUAAAACUCAUAGACUGUUUAAAAAGAGAAUAAAGAAAUGAACAGAAGUCCAAAUAUCUAAGGACAAGUUCAUACCCAACUAUGAGCCACAACACUAAGGUACGUUCAAUAGUCACAAGGAGGGGUCAAGGGGUUUUGGGAAUACACAGGACACAUAAUUAAGCAAAGAUCCAAGAAUUAGUAUACGCAUGCUCAGAGGCAGCUGACCAGUCAUAGUCAAAAAACCAGACAAAAGAACAAGCUCACAUAUAGGGAUGAUAGGGAUUUGGGAAUACGUGAAACACAUAGAGAUAAUUGGUUCAGACAUAUUCAUACACAGUACAGAGGGGUAACAUGUUGAUCUAAAGUUAAGGGAGUAUAUAAGAAGGUAAACAUCAACUACAAGUUCCACAACAAAACCACAAAUAGAAGCAAACUAGAAACAUGAUGAAUUGAAGCAAUAAGAAGAUCAUAUUGUUGUUGGAACUUUGAAUUGAAAUUUAAGCAUACCAGUAAAGAUGACAGUAAGUAGACUUGAAAGAACAGUAGGAUACAAUGGUUAGCAUUGAUUUGCAGCCGGCUAAUUUUGAGCAAUAGCAAGUAGCACACAAGAGAGAAAAAAGUUUUGUUAAGUGGGAGAGAUAGAGUUUUGAACCAAGAGUAUUUGUGUGUUGUGCUAAUGAAAGACUAGGGUAUUUAUAGUUUGAAAAUAAGUAGUAAAUAAGGUAAAAAUCACAGUCCAUUAGUAAUUAAGGAACUUGAAAUCAAUCAGUCAUGAAAUCAAGGUUAAGUCCCCUUCAAUUAAGGAGAUAACUUCGAACAGUAAUAGACAUAUGCCAAAUAAGGAAGGAAAUCGUGUAAGGCUGAACAUGCCAAUUAAGAAAAUAGUUUCUGCAUAGUACAAGCACACAAUAUAUAAUAGAAGCCAGGUUCAGCACACUUAAAUCAAGAAAAGAGUUGAGCAAUCAAUUAAUAGCAUAAUUGAUCAUAGAAUAAGGUCAGAAAAUAUUCUACAAGGUAAAAAUCAGUAGAAUAAUCAUGCGGAAUCAGAGAAAGAUCAAUAAUAAGGAUUCAAGUAUGUAAGAAUAGGAGAUAACACUGAUUUAUCACCACUCUAUAAGAACAAGCACAUGGUAAGCAAAAAUCAGAAUCCUAAGAGGUCGAGUAGGACAAGAAUCACAUAUAAAAUUAAGGAUUCAUGCAGAGCAUAGUCUGAAUUAAUAGGCUAAGCAUGAUACAAGUAUGAGAAGUGAAAAUCAGAAACAUGUGUGAACAAGCAUAAGGAAAAAUCCAUGUAGGCUAAGCAUGAUACAUGUAGGAGAAGUGAAAAAUCAGAAACAUUGGUUAACAAAAAUAAGGUAAAAUCACACAAUAGGAAAGAAUAACCAUAAUUAUCAGCCCUAACAAGAAAACAUUGGACAAAAGUCACAGAACCAUAGAACAUACAGAUUAACCAAAUAUAUUAUCAAAACAAGCUCAGAAACCCAAGGUUGGGGCUAAGAAGUUAGGGUUUUCAACAUAGACGAGUUGAAAAAGGAGUAAAAACAUAGAAUCAUUUGAGAUAUUCAAGGAAUAGAAGUUAAAACAUGAAGAAUCGAUUUAAACAAAGUGUAGAAGAAAUUCUGAAAAACCCUAACUUUAAAAGAAAGUAAAAAAUCUUGAAAUCGAUGAUUUUUGCAAAAUAGGAUCGAGAAAAGCACAAAACAUAGAAGGAACAUACUCAAAUUAUUUAAAAAUAGCGCAGAUCUAAGAGAUACAAACAAAAAUUAGGGUUUCAAAAGACACCCAAAUAGAGAUGGAAGAACCUGCUUAAAAUUUCAACGAUAGUAACAAAUAUAGUGUGACUUCACCCAAAAUCACAUCGAAGUAGCCAUGAACAGACAAAAUAGCAACCAUAGAUACAAGUCAGCGUAGCCCAAGGCCCUUGAAGGCCUCAGAGAGAAUGAGCAAGGAAAUGGAGGAACCAUUGUAGGCUUGGGGUUGAAGGGUGGUCACAGGAGAAGAUCGAAGAAGGGAGGCGUUUGAAAAAUAGGGGUUAGGGUUAGGCUGAGAGAAGAGAGGAGAUGAGAGCAUUUGAGGGCGGCGGGCUGCAG